GUGAACGCUGGCGGUAGGCCUAACACAUGCAAGUCGAACGGCAGCACAGUAAGAGCUUGCUCUUACGGGUGGCGAGUGGCGGACGGGUGAGGAAUACAUCGGAAUCUACUUUUUCGUGGGGGAUAACGUAGGGAAACUUACGCUAAUACCGCAUACGACCUACAGGUGAAAGCAGGGGAUCUUCGGACCUUGCGCGAUUGAAUGAGCCGAUGUCGGAUUAGCUAGUUGGCGGGGUAAAGGCCCACCAAGGCGACGAUCCGUAGCUGGUCUGAGAGGAUGAUCAGCCACACUGGAACUGAGACACGGUCCAGACUCCUACGGGAGGCAGCAGUGGGGAAUAUUGGACAAUGGGCGCAAGCCUGAUCCAGCCAUACCGCGUGGGUGAAGAAGGCCUUCGGGUUGUAAAGCCCUUUUGUUGGGAAAGAAAAGCAGCAGGUUAAUACCCCGCUGUUCUGACGGUACCCAAAGAAUAAGCACCGGCUAACUUCGUG
rnacentral:rRNA from 1 species